CGGAGGGUGCAAGCGUUGUCCGGAUUUAUUGGGUUUAAAAGGGUGCGUAGGCGGUCCAUUAAGUCCGGGGUGAAAGCCCGUUGCUCAACAACGGAACUGCCCUGGAAACUGGCGGACUUGAGUACAGACGAGGUUGGCGGAAUAGAAGGUGUAGCGGUGAAAUGCAUAGAUACCUUCUAGAACCCCGAUUGCGAAGGCAGCUGACUAGGCUGUUACUGACGCUGAGGCACGAAAGCGUGGGGAGCGAACAGGAUU
rnacentral:rRNA from 1 species